rnacentral:rRNA from 1 species
UUGAGAAAUUGUCGGAUGAAUUGUGGUUAGGAGCGAAAGACUAAUCAAACCCUGUGAUAGCUGGUUCUUUCCGAAAUAUAUUUGGGUAUAGCCUCGGAUGCUGAUUUGCGGAGGUAGAGCACUAAAUAAGCUAGGGCCCCUACCGGGGUACUGAACUUAAUUAAACUCCGAAUACCAUUCAAUGAAGUCCGGCAGUCAGACUGUGGGGGAUAACCUUCAUAGUCGAGAGGAGAAUAAUCCAAACCAUCAGUUAAGGUCCCAAAAUAUGGCUCAGUGAAAAAGGAUGUGAUUUUGCUUAGACAAUGGGGAUGUUGGCUUAGAGGCAGCCAU